UCUAGCAUUUUGCCUCCUACAUUCUCAAAGUAUAUGUCAAUGCCAUUAGGGAAACACCUGGAAAAAAGGAGAAUAUCUCUUAGAUUAGUCAAAACGCAAUUGACAAGAUCAAUCGAAAAGUAUUGCCACUUUAUUAUGCAAACCGAUUCUAACAUUUAUAGGCAUAAAACGCUUAGAAAUAAGUAGUUCACCGAACCUUUUUAGGGCAGCAGUAAGGUCAGAUUCUUCCUUGUAGUUAAAUGCAUCAUCAAACCCAAACUUGGUCUUCAGAAGAUCAACCUAACGGAUCCCCCAAAAGUAAAACGGCUAAUUAAUCAUUCUUUUGAAGGAGAACAAAGAAACAUAAGGAAACAAAAUAUGGAAAUGAUUAUCAAUUCCUCACCUUCUCUUUACUUCCAGCGCUUCCAACAACAUAACAGCCCAUCAUCUUAGCAAGUUGUCCCACAAGCUGACCAACAGCACCAGAUGCAGCUGACACAUAAACUGUCUCUCCUUCCUUUGGAGAACAAACUUCAUAAAACCCAGCAUAGGCAGUCAUACCAGGCAUACCUAUUAGGACAAGACAAAAACCCAUCAAAGAGUGAAUAUAUGAAAUAGAUCAACAAACAAAACAGUUGAAACCCUAGACUGAAGUUAUAACCAAUUCCAUUCAUAUGUUUCUAAGAUUUUUUAGAAAUCCAUAAUAAAGGUUAUGACCUCACUGUCUCAAGUCAAAACAUUGUAUCAUCAAGAAGCAGAUUUCCAAAAUUUUACAAAGUGAUUCCACCUUACAAAACUAUGAAAAAGGUUGAGAUUAACAUACCUAAAAGUCCAGUGUAAUAAGAUAAUGGAACAUCAGUAUGUUGGAUCUUGAAAUGCGCGUGAGUCAUUGGAGUGAUAACACUGUACUCCUCCCAUGCAACUAUACCCCAGAGUAAAUCUCCUUUCUUGUAAUCUGGAUGUCCAGAUUCUAUUAUUCUAGACACUCCAUACCCUUGGAUUGGCUACACCAAAACACACAACGGCAACAACAACAGUCAACACGAUAGACAUAGCAAAAAAACAGAACCAAGAGAGACACAAUUUCUUCUCAGUGUCUUCAAGAACACCAAAUUGUCAUCAAUAAGAAGCAUCUAGUUUCUUCACAUGCAAACCAAACAAAAUAAACAUUAUCAUCAUUACCUGGCCGGGAGUGUAAGCUUGAGCAAGAGCAGCAGUGGAAGGAUCAGGUUUCCCCAUGCGAAUUCUCAUGUAAGGAUCGCAUGACAAGUAGAGAUUCUUCACUAGAACAGAGUUAGUACCUUCCGGAACCCUAAGUUCGACGGUGGUGGUAGUGAAAUCGAAAUCGGAUUCCGUAGGGAAACCACUCACGUAGUCUUUCAAUAUGACUUGCUUGUUCGUCGCCGUCAUCGUUGAUUCUCGUGACUUCACCAAAUUUGUUACUGCUUCUUCUUCGGUUUCUCUCGAUGACGCCGCUGCUUUUAUAGAGUCAUCUCCAGUGUGCCACGAAUUCAUGAUAUCAACUUAUCAAGUAUGACGUCACUGCUUAUGUGUUCUGAUUUUUCACAUUUUGGAUUCUUUCUCUUUCGAGCGUUUUUUUCUCUCUUUGACUUUCACAUUCCUUUUGCAUACCUUUUUUUUUCCUCUUACGUAUCUCUCCUUUCACAUUUUGCUUUUCGUCUUUUUACACUAGAGAACUAAUUCUAAACUCGUAUUAAAUUUCUCACUAAUGAUAGUAAUUGGAAAAACUAGAGGUUUUUGACACCCUCAAUACAUUGUUAAGGUAAAUGCAACUUUUUGCGGAGUCUUUUUGGAAAUAAGAUAGAAAACAGAGUUCGAAGGCUAAAACAGAGCAAUCUGGUGCUUAAGUUCUUCUUGUAUGGAACCAGACGCGGAGUACGUCUUCGAGUUUCGUCGAGCUAUUUGGUAUUAAACGUAACAUUGUGGUUAAUCCAGCUUCAAUAGCUCUACUUUGAGUUACCAAAAUUUAAACACGUUGUGGUCAAUAUCCUCGUUUGUUGGUCACCUAAUUGACAAAUUUGGGUAGGUUUACUAAUUUCCAAAUGGCUAAAAUGUGAUUGGUCCAGUCCACUUUGCCAAUUGAUGAAAGAAAAAUUGAAAUAGGUGGUAACGGUGAAAAUAACUUUAUAACAUAUCACACCAAACCCACAAAACAGUAUCCCCAUCUUCCGAAUUAGUGUUCGCAACACUAACUGUUAAAACAGAGCACAAAACAGAGCCAUGUCCUAUAAUAAAGAAGAAAAGGAGUUGCACAAAUUGUAUUCAUUGAUGCUUAAACACGCAUACUUGGGAACAAGAGCUAGAAACAUGGGUUUGUAUUAGGCUUCUUUUUUGGAUUUGUGAGAGAGGUUUUGGCUUGUUUGUUACUACUUACAUACAUUUUGUGAACCAAGUCACAUAAAAUGAUAAAACCAAUAACAAACAAAUUAAUCUUACUGUAUAUACUAUAAUUACUAUUAUUCAUAAACCAAAAACUCACGGUUGGGUUCAACAGCCAUACAAACUCUUGUUGGAUAAAUAUAACAUUUCUCCCAAAUAAGUAUUAUUCCCUCACGAGCAAUAAAACCUUACUCCCAAUUAAAGUAUUCAUCAUUCACGAGCAAUAACAACAACUUGUUUCCCAACAUUCUUACCAUGGAAGAGUCCCACGAGAGCUUCAGGACCUUUCUCGAGCCCAUCAGCUACAUCUUCCACGUACGUUAUCUUCCCUUCUUUAAUGUGCGGAUGCAGAAACUCCAAGAACUUUGAGUAUUCGUCGUAGAAAUCAGACACUACAAAGCCUUGAAUGCGGAUUCGUUUGUAGAUUAUGUUGGAUAGGUUGUGUACACCUUCUUGGUUCUCAAGAUUGUACUGUGAGAUCAUUCCACAGACAGCGAUACGCCCGUGCAUGUUCAUGUUCAUAAGCACUGCAUCUAGCAUUUUGCCUCCUACAUUCUCAAAGUAUAUGUCAAUGCCAUUAGGGAAACACCUGGAAAAAAACGGAGAAUAUCUCUUAGAUUGGUCAAAACGCAAUUGAGAAGAUCAAUCAAAAAGUAUUGCCGCUUUAUUAUGCAAACGGAUUCUAACAUUUAUAGGCAUAAAACACUUAGAAAUAAGUAGUUUACUGAACCUUUUGAGCGCAGCACUAAGGUCAGGUUCUUCCUUGUAGUUAAAUGCAUAAUCAAACCCAAACUUGGUCUUCAGGAGAUCAACCUAACAGAUACCCCAAAAAUGGUUAAUCAUACUCUUGAAGGAGAACCAAGAAAUAUAAGGAAUCAAAAUAUAGAAAAUAAUGAUCAAAUUCUCACCUUUUCUUUGCUACCAGCACUUCCAACAACAUAACAGCCCAUCAUCUUAGCAAAUUGUCCCACAAGCUGACCAACAGCACCAGAUGCAGCUGACACAUAAACUGUCUCUCCUUUCUUUGGAGAACAGAUCUCAUAAAACCCAACAUAUGCGGUCAUACCAGGCAUACCUUUCAGUAACAGAGAACACCCAUCAAAGAGUGAAUAUAUGAAACAGAUCAACAAACCAAACAGUUGAAACUCUAGUCUUCUAGACUAAAGUUACAACCAAUUCCAUUGAUAUGUUUCUAAGAUUUGUUAGACAUCAAAACAUUGUAUCAUCAAGAAGCAGAUUUCCAAAAUUUUACAGAGUGAUUCCACCUUACAAAACUAUGAAAAAGGCUGAGAUUAACAUACCGAGAAGUCCAGUGUAGUAAGACAAUGGAACAUCAGUAUGUUGGAUCUUGAAAUGCUCGUGAGUCAAGUGAUAACACUGUACUCCUCCCAUGCAACUAUACCCCAGAGUAGGUCUCCUUUUUUGUAAUCUGAAUGCCCAGAUUCUAUCACUGUAGACACUCCGUACCCUUCUAUUGGCUGCACCAAAAACACAAUGGAAACAAGAAGACUCAACGCGAUAGAGAUAGCGAAAAGAAAAACCCGAAGAGACACAAUUUCUUCUCAGAGUCUUCAAGAACACCAAAUUGUCAUGUAGUUUCUACAUCAAUAAGAAGCAUCUAGUUUCUUCACAUGCAAACCAAACAAAAUAAACAUUAUCAUCAUUACUUGGCCGGGAGUGUAAGCUUGAGCAAGAGCAGCAGUGGAAGGAUUAGGUUUCCCCAUGCAAAUUCUCAUGUAAGGAUCGCAUGACAAGUAUAGGUUCUUCACCAGAACAGAGUUAGUACCUUCCGGAACCCUAAGUUCGACGGUGGUGGUAGUGAAAUCGAAAUUGGAUUCCGUAGGGAAACCACUCACGUAGUCUUUCAAUAUAACUUGCUUGUUCGUCGCCGUCGUCAUCGUUGAUUCUUCUGACUUCACCAAAUUUUGUUAUUGCUUCUUCUUUGGUUUAUCGAUGACGCGGCCGCUUUUAUAGUGGCUUCUCCAGUGUGCCACGAAUUCAUGAUAUCAACUUAUCAAGUAUGACGUCAUUGCUUAUGUGUUCUGAUUUUUCACAUUUGGAUUCUCUCUUUCGAACGUUUUUUUUUUUUGACUUUCACAUUUAUUUCUCUGAAUGUUAAUCCAGCUUCAAUAGCUCUCUACUGGUUAUCAGGAGUCCUUCCCAAGAAAGUUUGCCUCAAGGUCUUCGCUAUUAAAGAGGACUAGAGUCUAGACGAGACUUGCUUUGAUGAUCCUCGACCGGACGAGACUACUGACCUGAAAGUCAUAAUCGUUAUGGUCAAUAUCCUCGUUUGCUGGUCACCUCAUUAACAAAUUUGGGUACAGAGAGACAGAACACAUAUGACAUAUCACACCAAACCCACAAAACAGUAUCCAGCUCGCAAUAGUUUCCGCAAAACAGAGCCAUGUAAUUGUAAUUGUAAUUUUCUUGUCCUCGAAUAAAGAAAAAAAGGAAUUGCACAAAAUAGCAACAGUAACUGUAUCCAUUGAUGUUUAAACAAAGCAUACAUGGGAACGUGAGCUAUAGAAAACAUGGGUUUGUAUUUAGGCUCUGGGUUUGUAUUUACUAUUUAGCCUCUUUUUUCUUUUUUCAUUUGUGAGAGAGGUUUGUCGUUAUUUGUUAUUAUUACUUUCAUACAUUUUAUGAACAAGCCACAUAAAACGAAUAACAAACAGAUUCACAUUACUAUAUAUUAUAGUUACUAGUAUUAUUCAUAAACCAAAAACUCACGGUUGGGUUCAACAGACAUACCAACUCUUGUUGGAUAAAUAUAACAUUUCUCCCAAAUAAGUAUUCUUCACUCACGCGCAAUAAGACAUUACUCCCAAAUAAGUAUUCUUCACUCACGAGCAAUAACAACAACUUGUUUCCCAACGUUCUUACCAUGGAAAAGCCCCACAAGAGCUUCAGGAGCUUUCUCGAGCCCAUCAGCUACAUCUUCCACAUACGUUAUCUUCCCUUCUUUAAUGCGCGGAAGCACCAACUCCAAGAACUUUGGGUAUUUGUCGUAGAAAUCAGCCACUACAAAGCCUUGAAUGCGUAUUCGUUUGUAGAUGAUAUUGGAUAGGUUGUGUACACCUUCUUGAUUUUCAAGAUUGUACUGUGAGAUCAUUCCACAGACAGCGAUACGCCCGUGUGGGUUCAUGUUUAAGAGCACUGCAUCUAGCAUUUUGCCUCCUACGUUCUCAAAGUACAUGUCGAUGCCCUUGGGAAAACACCUGGGAAAAAGAAGAGAAUCUCUCUUAGAUUAGUAAGAGCACAAUUGAUUAGAUAUCAAUCAAUGAAGAUAAACUCGUUUUUUCUUCGAAAAGAGUUCUAAUUGCGGAGUUUCAUUGGGGUUUUCUCCAGUUCUUAAGUGGUUUCCACUUAGAUUCAUGCUUCCAUUUAGUUGUGAAUUGCCGCUUUAUUCUGCAAAUCGAUCCUAACAGUUGUAGACACCAAACACUUUGAAAAAACCCGUAACCGAACCUUUUGAGGGCAGCACUAAGGUCAGAUUCUUCCUUGUAGUUAAAUGCAUCAUCAAACCCAAACUUGGUCU
rnacentral:lncRNA from 1 species